AGGGGAAUAACAUUCUGAAAAGAAUGCUAAUACCGCAUAACAUAUAUUUAUCGCAUGGUAGAUAUAUCAAAGAUUUAUCGCUUAGAGAUGGACUCGCGUCCGAUUAGUUAGUUGGUGAGGUAACGGCUCACCAAGACUGCGAUCGGUAGCCGGACUGAGAGGUUGAACGGCCACAUUGGGACUGAGACACGGCCCAGACUCCUACGGGAGGCAGCAGUGGGGGAUAUUGCGCAAUGGGGGAAACCCUGACGCAGCACCGCCGCGUGAAGGAUGAAGGUCUUCGGAUUGUAAACUUCUUUUAUUAAGGACGAAGAAAGUGACGGUACUUAAUGAAUAAGCUCCGGCUAACUACGUGCCAGCAGCCGCGGUAAUACGUAGGGAGCAAGCGUUGUCCGGAUUUACUGGG
rnacentral:rRNA from 1 species